rnacentral:rRNA from 1 species
UACGGGGGGAGCAAGCGUUGUUCGGAUUUACUGGGCGUAAAGGGCGCGUAGGCGGUCAGUGCAAGUCAGUUGUGAAAUCUCCGGGCUUAACUCGGAAAGGUCAACUGAUACUGCUCGACUAGAGUGCGGAAGGGGCAACUGGAAUUCUUGGUGUAGCGGUGAAAUGCGUAGAUAUCAAGAGGAACACCUGCGGCGAAGGCGGGUUGCUGGGCCGACACUGACGCUGAUGCGCGAAAGCCAGGGGAGCGAACGGG